AAUGAACGCUGGCGGCGCGCCUAAUACAUGCAAGUCGAGCGAGAAGACGUAGCAAUACGUUUGUAAAGCGGCGAACGGGUGAGGAAUACAUGGGUAACCUACCCUCGAGUGGGGAAUAACUAGCCGAAAGGUUAGCUAAUACCGCGUACGCUUCUUGGACUUCGGUUCAGGGAGGAAAGCGAUACCGUGGGUAUCGCGCUCUUGGAUGGGCUCAUGUCCUAUCAGCUUGUGGUGAGGUAACGGCUCACCAAGGCUUCGACGGGUAGCUGGUCUGAGAGGACGAUCAGCCACACUGGCACUGCGACACGGGCCAGACUCCUACGGGGAGGCAGCAGUAAGGAAUAUUGCGCAAUGGGCGAAAGCCUGACGCAGCGACGCCGCGG
rnacentral:rRNA from 1 species